AUGGGGAUGAGGCAAAGCCGGAUCCGGGCACGGUCCCCCCGGAAGGUUCCGGAAGCCUCCGGACGCACCUGGAAGGGCUCCCAGCAGCAGGAGGGGGAUGGGGAGGGCCGGGGGCAACAAUUUGGGGCCAAAGUCCGGGUUUGGGGCAAUGUCCGGGCGGCCGUGACCCUGCUGGAGUCCGGGGGGGACCUCCAGCCCCCCGGGGGGUCCCUGCGCCUCCUCUGCCGAGGACAAGGAUUCACCUUCGGGAAUUUCGACAUGUUCUGGAUCCGGCAGAGACCCGGGAAGGCGCUGGAAUUUGUGGCGAGCAUCAACAACAAUGGUGGCACCACGUUCUACGCGCCAUCCGUGCGGGGCCGGUUCACCAUCGCCAGGGACAAUGGGCAGAGCUCGGUGACGCUGAGCAUGAACAACCUCCAGGACGAGGAUUCCGGGGUUUAUUUCUGCGCCAAAUGUUACACCAGUGGUUGUUACAGCAGUUAUGGUGCUGCUGCUGGUGCUGUUGGUUAUGGUGACGAUGUCGCUGAUGGCCACAUUCCCCAUGCUGGAUCCCCAAAUGUCCCAGGGGAAAACCUGGGCUUUGGGGUGAAUCCUGGGGUGUAG